GUUCUUCGGAAUUAGAGACCGGCGCACGGGUGCGUAACGCGUAUGCAAUCUACCUUUCACAGAGGGAUAGCCCAGAGAAAUUUGGAUUAAUACCUCAUAGUAUAAUACCUUGGCAUCAAGGAAUUAUUAAAGUCACAACGGUGAAAGAUGAGCAUGCGUCCCAUUAGCUAGUUGGUAAGGUAACGGCUUACCAAGGCGACGAUGGGUAGGGGUCCUGAGAGGGAGAUCCCCCACACUGGUACUGAGACACGGACCAGACUCCUACGGGAGGCAGCAGUGAGGAAUAUUGGACAAUGGGCGCAAGCCUGAUCCAGCCAUGCCGCGUGCAGGAUGACGGUCCUAUGGAUUGUAAACUGCUUUUAUACGAGAAGAAACACUCCGACGUGUCGGAGCUUGACGGUAUCGUAAGAAUAAGGAUCGGCUAACUCCGUGCCAGCAGCCGCGGUAAUACGGAGGAUCCAAGCGUUAUCCGGAAUCAUUGGGUUUAAAGGGUCCGUAGGCGGUCAGAUAAGUCAGUGGUGAAAGCCCAUCGCUCAACGGUGGAACGGCCAUUGAUACUGUCUGACUUGAAUUAUUAGGAAGUAACUAGAAUAUGUAGUGUAGCGGUGAAAUGCUUAGAGAUUACAUGGAAUACCAAUUGCGAAGGCAGGUUACUACUAAUGGAUUGACGCUGAUGGACGAAAGCGUGGGUAGCGAACAGGAUUAGAUACCCUGGUAGUCCACGCCGUAAACGAUGGAUACUAGCUGUUGGGCGCAAGUUCAGUGGCUAAGCGAAAGUGAUAAGUAUCCCACCUGGGGAGUACGUUCGCAAGAAUGAAACUCAAAGGAAUUGACGGGGGCCCGCACAAGCGGUGGAGCAUGUGGUUUAAUUCGAUGAUACGCGAGGAACCUUACCAAGGCUUAAAUGUAGAUUGACCGGUUUGGAAACAGACUUUUCGCAAGACAAUUUACAAGGUGCUGCAUGGUUGUCGUCAGCUCGUGCCGUGAGGUGUCAGGUUAAGUCCUAUAACGAGCGCAACCCCUGUUGUUAGUUGCCAGCGAGUCAUGUCGGGAACUCUAACAAGACUGCCAGUGCAAACUGWGAGGAAGGUGGGGAUGACGUCAAAUCAUCACGGCCCUUACGCCUUGGGCUACACACGUGCUACAAUGGCCGGUACAGAGAGCAGCCACUGGGCGACCAGGAGCGAAUCUACAAAACCGGUCACAGUUCGGAUCGGAGUCUGCAACUCGACUCCGUGAAGCUGGAAUCGCUGUAAUCGGAUAUCAGCCAUGAUCCGGUGAAUCCGUUCCCGGCCU
rnacentral:rRNA from 1 species